GGCCCUAGAUGAUAAAAAUAGAGGCUCAAAAUUAGCUCAAACAAUCCAAAUAUACUAGCAGCCCAACCCAAACUCCCACCUAUCCAGAAACCCUAGGAGAAGAGGAAGAAGCAUCACGCCACCGUUCUUACAACCUUCAGAACGCUGGAUUACUGAACAAGGUUGAGAUCACCAACAAAACCAAUAAUCUCAAAAAGGACUUAUAACAAGCAACAAGAAGCGCAGGCUCAAAGCUCGUUCAGCCAUAGACCACCAUCUUUAGCAAGUACAAACCCACAUGCAUGGCUAGAAGAGAGAUGCGGAAGAGCUCCUCGGCAGUCUCAAUCUCAUUUAGCCAUUGGGGAACACCUUCAGCCGAAGUGAAAGGCUAUGACCCUGGAGGUCUCGACAUCAACAUGCAUAUACCCCUCCCAUCACAGCAAUGGAUGCCUCUAAACCCAGAAUAGAACAGCAUACUAUGAACUUAAUCGUAGCUCUAACAGAGCCUCACCUCAGCUCUAGCAGAUGGCUGAUCAAUAAUGUAUUUCCCCUACCUUUAAAGCUCCAGGAUCAGCAAGCCAAAACCAAAAUCGAAACUAUCAACAACCAACCUGGUAUGGAGAGGGAAGCCAUGAAC
rnacentral:misc_RNA from 1 species